rnacentral:misc_RNA from 1 species
AAGUCGUAACAAGGUAUCCGUAGGUGAACCUGCGGAUGGAUCAUUAACGAUACGUUGGUUUUGUGCAAACAAAACCACGUUUCUACCAACCCAACCUGUGCGAGGAGUGGAUAAUGUUUUUUUAAGUUUUCGGACUUGGGCAUUUCCCCUCCGUUUAUUCUUUCCAUUCUUACUUUACAAACCUUAAAACCCUAAUUCUUCGUUCUCGAAGGACUUAACACUUCUAUUUUCAAAUCGAAAGGGAGACCUCGUGUCUCUUCGAUUAGAUAUGAAAUCCUGUACAACUCUUAGCAACGGAUAUCUUGGUUCUC